rnacentral:rRNA from 1 species
UGGGGAAUAUUGGACAAUGGGCGAAAGCCUGAUCCAGCCAUGCCGCGUGAGUGAUGAAGGCCCUAGGGUUGUAAAGCUCUUUUACCAGGGAAGAUGAUGACGGUACCUGGAGAAUAAGCACCGGCUAACUUCGUGCCAGCAGCCGCGGUAAUACGAAGGGUGCUAGCGUUGUUCGGAUUUACUGGGCGUAAAGCGUGCGCAGGCGGCCAUUCAAGUCAGGGGUGAAAUCCUUGGGCUUAACCCAAGAAUUGCCUUUGAAACUGUCUGGCUAGAGACUCGGAGGGGAUAGCGGAAUUGCUAAUGUAGCGGUGAAAUGCGUAGAUAUUAGCAGGAACACCGGUGGCGAAGGCGGCUAUCUGGACGAGUACUGACGCUCAUGCACGAAAGCGUGGGGAUCAAACAGG